rnacentral:rRNA from 1 species
UACGUAGGUGGCAAGCGUUGUCCGGAAUUACUGGGUGUAAAGCGCGUGUAGGCGGAUCGUUAAGUACCUUGUGAAAUCCCACGGCUCAACCGUGGAACUGCUGGGUAUACUGGCGAUCUUGAGCCACCUAGGGGCGAGCGGAACAAGCGGUGGAGCGGUGAAAUGCGUAGAUAUCGCUUGGAACGCCAAUGGUGAAAACAGCUCGCUGGGGGUGUGCUGACGCUGAGACACGAAAGCCAGGGGAGCGAACGGG